UAACAAAUUUUUUUUCAGUUGAAUAAUGCUCAUAUUUUUGUUAUAAAAUUCAACUUUAAUUAAUUUUAUUGUAUGCAUUUUCCAUUAUAUAUGUAUUUAUUUCAACCAAUGCUUAUGAAUUCAUGAAUAAAUAGUUAUUUUUAAACAUAUAUGUACCAAUAUUAAUUUAGUUUUCGCUUCCGAUAUAACGAAUAUUUCAGUUUAACGAACGGUCCCAACAUUAUAUCAUUCGUUAUAUUGGAGUACCACUGUAAUUGAAAAACAAAACAACAAAAUUGAAAAAAAAUUUGUAUGGAAAAAAUUAACUUUUUGGAAGAAUACAAUUUUCCGACUUUUCCUUACGAAAAGCAUACAGGUUUUUUUAUUUCUAAACCUUCCUUGAUCCACAACGAACAACCUCUUAAAAUUUCAUCAAUAUUGGUUCAGCCGUUCUCUUAGCGUUACUAACGAACAAACAUUCAUUCGUUUGAAUGAGAAAAAGAAAAGGGCUGUUUUUAGGGGCUUUCCGGCAAUUAGUAGAAUUUUUUUCUCCGCAGAAACCAUCCCUGAACUUCAACGAACAUUUUAAAAAAAAGAAUUAUCAAAUUUGGUUCAGUCGUAUGAAAGUUAUGAGCGUACAUACAUUUUGGCGAUUCAUUUUUAUUUAUGUAUAUACAUAGAUAGAUAGAUAGAUGAGCUCAUCACACAUAAGGCGAUAUGAACAUUUUUCUGGGAAGCAGUAUUUUUGAUGACUUUGAAUUGGAUCACACCAAAUUUAUGUUAUUAUAAAUAUAUUGAUAAGGAAAUUGUAUACAAUUAUGUAUUGUAUGUAUGGUAUAUGCGUGUAAAGCAUUCAAUUUGCACAUAAAAGACUAAAUUGACAAACGCUUCUUUUUGACUAUAAAAUGUGGAACGGCUUCGAACAAACUUUAGUAAACAUUUGGAAAUCUAUUUGCAACGUUGAGGUACAAUUUUUCUCUCAAAAAAUAACAAAAUAAAAAAAUUCUAUAAAAUGAAAUUCAUGUGCUUAUUGUUUAUCCUGUACAUUAACAUAGCAGCUAUAAGUGCACAUCCGCUAAUUUGUCGAAUCCCCCAUUACAAAUACUAUACAAUAUAUAGUUUUAAUUGCCUGCAAACAAAACAAAACUGCAUUGUAAAUCAUCGCGGAGAGUGCAUUGCAUAUCGUGGAUAGGAUAGUAGUCCAAAUCAAAAACAAUGAAUUAUAAUAAAUCUACGAUUAUGCUGCAAUAUUAAGUGUUAUAUAAUUUAUGUAAUAAAACAAUAAAAAGGAAAAAUAUAUAUAAUUUAGUUUUUAAACUCAAGUGAGUUUACCUACUAAAAUUUUGUUUGUCUCUCGUCACCUUUCACAAUUCAAAAAGUGUGGUUCAGGAUUCGCAGUUGCAUCCAUAGAAAAUCGGCGUAAACGGGUGGAGAUAUGCAAACGGAAUUUUGGUGGACAUUUGGUAUAAAUCAGAAAUUAUCUGCAAUUAAAAAACAGAGCAUAUUUAGACCGAAUCCACGGAUGGGAAUUUUCAAACAAAUUACCUCAUGCAUACGGAUAAUAUGGCGCUAGCAAGUAGACCUCGGUUGGGAUGCCAACAUUUUGAUCAUCGCGGGCGGUGUAUCGAUGAAGAAGCUAGACCAAAUUCGUUUCGAAGAAAUAACUACUAAAAGACAAGGGUAACUAUGUGGAAUUAAAAAAUCAUACGGCGAACGAACAAAACUUACUUCGAUAUACUUACUUAUAAAUAUAUGCAAAUACAGAAUAUAUAAAUAAUAUAUUUAAGAAUACAUAUUAAAAUAUAAACCGUGGUGUAACACUUAAAUCAAUUAAAUAUAGAAUGAAAUAAACAUGCGUUAACUAAUGGAAUUGUUAAUCAUCAUUUAAGUGGUUUUGGGUAUUAUGGGUAGAUCUUGAAAUCGAUCUCACCUUCCUAUCAACAUUUCUAAGUCAAUGGUAAUGCGAAUUCUCAACAAUUGCAUCAACUCUUCGUAGCCGAAUUUAAUUUUGCUUCUUAUAUACAUAUAUAUAAUACAUGAGCUCAUCACACAUAAGGCGAUAUCAACAUUUUUCUGGGAAGCAGUAUUUUUGAUGACUUUGAAUUGGAUCACACCAAAUUUAUGUUAUUAUAAAUAUAUUGAUAAGGAAAUUGUAUACAAUUAUGUAUUGUUUGUAUGGUAUAUGCGUGUAAAGCAUUCAAUUUGCACAUAAAAGACUAAAUUGACAAACGCUUCUUUUUGACUAUAAAAUGUGGAACGGCUUCGAACAAACUUUAGUAAACAUUUGGAAAUCUAUUGGCAAAUUUGAGGCACAAUUUUUCUCUAAAAAAAUAACAAAGUCAAAAAAAUUCAAUAAAAAUGAAAUUCAUGUACUUAUUGAUUAUCGCUAUGCUAAUAGCAGCUCUGCAUGAUCCGAUAGAAAACAGUAUUGCAAACACAAUACCAAUAUGUCUUACAAAUCAUCGGGGAGAGUGCAUUGGAUAUUAUUACCGUGCAAGGAAUAAUCUAAGAAACAAACUCGACCAAUUAAAAUACACAUAGGAUUAUGUCGCAAUAUUAAGGGUUAUAUCAUUUGUGUAAUAAAACUAUAAAAAGAACAAAUAAAUAUUAUUUGGUUUUUUUUGAAGAAGGCUCACGGA